rnacentral:rRNA from 1 species
AUUGAACGCUGGCGGCAGGCCUAACACAUGCAAGUCGAGCGGCAGCGGGAAAGUAGCUUGCUACUUUUGCCGGCGAGCGGCGGACGGGUGAGUAAUGCCUGGGGAUCUGCCCAGUCGAGGGGGAUAACUACUGGGAACGGUAGCUAAUACCGCAUACGCCCUACGGGGGAAAGCAGGGGACCUUCGGGCCUUGCGCGAUUGGAUGAACCCAGGUGGGAUUAGCUAGUUGGUGAGGUAACGGCUCACCAAGGCGACGAUCCCUAGCUGGUCUGAGAGGAGGAUCAGCCACACUGGAACUGAGACACGGUCCAGACUCCUACGGGAGGCAGCAGUGGGGAAUAUUGCACAAUGGGGGAAACCCUGAUGCAGCCAUGCCGCGUGUGUGAAGAAGGCCUUCGGGUUGUAAAGCACUUUCAGCGAGGAGGAAAGGUCAGUAGCUAAUAUCUGCUGGCUGUGACGUUACUCGCAGAAGAAGCACCGGCUAACUCCGUGCCAGCAGCCGCUGUAA